GAAGGGUGCAAGCGUUACUCGGAAUUACUGGGCGUAAAGCGUGCGUAGGUGGUUCGUUAAGUCUGCCGUGAAAGCCCCGGGCUCAACCUGGGAAUGGCGGUGGAUACUGGCGGACUAGAGUGCGGUAGAGGGUGGUGGAAUUCCCGGUGUAGCAGUGAAAUGCGUAGAGAUCGGGAGGAACAUCUGUGGCGAAGGCGGCCACCUGGACCAGCACUGACACUGAGGCACGAAAGCGUGGGGAGCAAACAGGAUUAGAUACCCUGGUAGUCCACGCCCUAAACGAUGCGAACUGGACGUUGGGCUCAAUUGAGAGCUCAGUGUCGAAGCUAACGCGUUAAGUUCGCCGCCUGGGGAGUACGGUCGCAAGACUG
rnacentral:rRNA from 1 species